rnacentral:rRNA from 1 species
CGGGUAGAGGAACAUGUACGCAACCUUCCUUUAACUGGGGGAUAGCCCCUCGAAAGAGGGAUUAAUACUCCGUAAGAUAAUGAUAAGGCAUCUUAUUAUUAUUAUAGCUCCGGCGGUUAAAGAUGGGCGUGCAACUGAUUAGAUAGUUGGCGGGGUAACGGCCCACCAAGUCAGCGAUCAGUAACUGGUGUGAGAGCACACCAGUCACACGGGCACUGAGACACGGGCCCG